UACUGCAUCAGGAACUGAUAGGG
rnacentral:miRNA from 1 species